GAUGAACGCUGGCGGCGUGCCUAAUACAUGCAAGUCGAGCGAACAGACGAGGAGCUUGCUCCUCUGACGUUAGCGGCGGACGGGUGAGUAACACGUGGAUAACCUACCUAUAAGACUGGGAUAACUUCGGGAAACCGGAGCUAAUACCGGAUAAUAUAUUGAACCGCAUGGUUCAAUAGUGAAAGACGGGUUUGCUGUCACUUAUAGAUGGAUCCGCGCCGCAUUAGCUAGUUGGUAAGGUAACGGCUUACCAAGGCGACGAUGCGUAGCCGACCUGAGAGGGUGAUCGGCCACACUGGAACUGAGACACGGUCCCGACUCCUACGGGAGGCAGCAGUAGGGAAUCUUCCGCAAUGGGCGAAAGCCUGACGGAGCAACGCCGCGUGAGUGAUGAAGGUCUUCGGAUCGUAAAACUCUGUUAUUAGGGAAGAACAAAUGUGUAAGUAACUAUGCACGUCUUGACGGUACCUAAUCAGAAAGCCACGGCUAACUACGUG
rnacentral:rRNA from 1 species